rnacentral:rRNA from 1 species
GACGUAGGGCGCGAGCGUUGUCCGGAUUUAUUGGGCGUAAAGCGUGCGCAGGCGGUUCGUUGUGUCGGCGGUGAAAGCCCCGGGCUCAACCUGGGAAUGGCCGUUGAAACUGGCGAACUGGAGUGUGGCAGAGGGGGGUGGAAUUCCGCGUGUAGCAGUGAAAUGCGUAGAGAUGCGGAGGAACACCGAUGGCGAAGGCAGCCCCCUGGGCUAGCACUGACGCUCAGGCACGAAAGCGUGGGGAGCAAACAGG